UGGGGUGUAGCCAAGAGGUAAGGCAAGGGGUUUUGACCCCCUGAAGCGUUGGUUCGAUUCCAACCACUCCAGCCA
rnacentral:tRNA from 1 species